GGGGCCGUAGUUCAGCUGGGAGAACGCUACACUGGCAGUGUAGAGGUCGAGAGUUCAAAUCUCUCCGGCUCCA
rnacentral:tRNA from 1 species